rnacentral:rRNA from 1 species
GUGGGGAAUAUUGGGCAAUGGGGGAAACCCUGACCCAGCAACGCCGCGUGAAGGAAGAAGGUUUUCGGAUCGUAAACUUCUAUCCUUGGUGAAGAUAAUGACGGUAGCCAAGAAGGAAGCCCCGGCUAACUACGUGCCAGCAGCCGCGGUAAUACGUAGGGGGCAAGCGUUGUCCGGAAUGAUUGGGCGUAAAGGGCGCGUAGGCGGCCUGGUAAGUGUGGAGUGAAAGUCCUGCUUUUAAGGUGGGAAUUGCUUUGGAUACUGUCGGGCUUGAGUGCAGGAGAGGUAAGCGGAAUUCCCGGUGUAGCGGUGAAAUGCGUAGAGAUCGGGAGGAACACCAGUGGCGAAGGCGGCUUACUGGACUGUAACUGACGCUGAGGCGCGAAAGUGUGGGGAGCAAACAGGAUUAGAAACCCCUGUAGUCC